AUAAUGCAGAGGUGGGGGACAGAGUGGGUGGGGAGGGGAGCCGCCAUACAGUGGCCAGGACCAGCUUUGCCCAAGUGGUGGCAACCGCAUGACCACAGGAACGAUGGCGUGAGCCCCGUGGCAACCUGGAGGAAGGGAAAUAAUCCAGGAUCCAUUUCGUGUGGUCAUCUUGUCUCCCUGGUCCCCUCCAGCCUUUCCUCAUCUUUUGUGACCUGGUCACUCUGGAAGGGCGCUGGCCAGUUAGUCCACAGGAUGGGCCUCCCCUGGGGCUUUUCUGAUGCUUCCUUAUGAUGGCACUGGCAUCCUGAGGGGGAGGACCACAGAGAGGAGGUGCUCCUCAUCACACCACAUGGGGGUCCAUGCACCAGUGCCACUGCUUUCCAGGGCUCUUCACCUUCAUCACUGGUGGAGGUGGCGUCUGCCAAGAAGCAGAAAGUUGAGGCUUAGAAGGUGCACGGCCCUACCUCUUCCGAGGUGCCCCUGCGGGCUGUCUACAGACCAGGCAGCACAUGCCUGAUAGCAGCUGCAUAAGGAAAAGCAGGAGCCAGCUCGUGCACAGUGGCCUCAAGUG
rnacentral:lncRNA from 10 species